rnacentral:snRNA from 1 species
AUACUUACUUGGCAGGGGAGAUACCAUGAUCACGAAGGUGGUUUUCCCAGGGCGAGGCUUAUCCAUUGCACUCCGGAUGUGCUGACCCCUGCGAUUUCCCCAAAUGUGGUAAACUCGACUGCAUAAUUUGUGGUAGUGGGGGACUGCAUUCGGCUUUCCCCUG